AUUGAACGCUGGCGGCAGGCCUAACACAUGCAAGUCGAGCGAGCGGCGGACGGGUGAGUAAUGUAUGGGGACUGCCCGAUAGAGGGGGAUAACUACUGGAAACGGUAGCUAAAACCGCAUACUAUCGGAUAACCCAUAUGGGAUUAGUUAGUCGGUGGGGGAAUGGCUCACCUAGGCGACGAUCCCUAGCUGGUCUGAGAGGAUGAUCAGCCACACUGGAACUGAGACACGGCCCAGACUCCUACGGAGGCAGCAGUGGGGAAUAUUGCACAAUGGGCGCAAGCCUGAUGCAGCCAUGCCGCGUGUAUGAAGAAGGCCCUAUGGUUGUAAAGUACUUUCAGUCGGGAGGCGGUACCGACAGAAGAAGCACCGGCUAACUCCGUGCCAGCAGCCGCGGUAAUUC
rnacentral:rRNA from 1 species